AAGAUUAAUACCGCAUAAGAUUGUAGUAUCGCAUGAUAUAGCAAUUAAAGGAGCAAUUCGCUAUAAGAUGGACCCGCGUCGCAUUAGCUAGUUGGUGAGGUAAUGGCUCACCAAGGCGACGAUGCGUAGCCGACCUGAGAGGGUGAUCGGCCACAUUGGGACUGAGACACGGUCCAGACUCCUACGGGAGGCAGCAUG
rnacentral:rRNA from 1 species